UUUGUUUUGGGAAGCUCUCUCGGCCUGGCAACUAUCCAAGGACUGAUAAGAUCUGUUCUUGCACUUAAACCUGGGAAGGAUUAUUG